GUGCUUGCUUCAGCAACACAUAUGCUAAAAUUGGAACCAUACAGAGAAGAUUAGCAUGGCCCCUGCACAAGGAUGACAUGCAAAUUCAUGAAGCGUACUGUAUUUUU
rnacentral:snRNA from 1 species